rnacentral:sRNA from 1 species
GAACAAUUUAGAGAAACAGUCAAUAUGAUUUACACUGAGGUAGUCUGAAAUCCUUAGCUAAAAAAAAUGUAAAGCAUUAAGACUACAUUUUUAAGUUGGUCUGAGAUGUGUGUGUGUGUGUGUGUGUGUGUGUGUGUGUGUGUUCA